ensembl:misc_RNA Metazoa_SRP Metazoan signal recognition particle RNA
GCCUGAUGCAGUGGCUUGUGUCUGUAAUCCCAGCUACUUGGGAGGCUGAGACAGGAGGAUCACUUGAGCCAAGGAGGUCGAGGCUGUAGUGAACUAUGAUUGCACCACUGCAUUCCAGCCUGGGCAACAGAGUGAGACCCUGUCUCUC